CCAAGGCUGGCCUAGGGUGUCUUAUGCUGCAGGGCAAGUUCUUAACUAACAUUAGUUUCCUUUGCUUUUUACCUUUUGUUAAUCCUUUUAGGCAUCCCUUGAAUGUUUAUGAAACACCCAUCAUAUGCCAGACCUUGUGCCAAGUGCUCAGGAUGCAAGAGAUAAAGAUUUGAGAAAUGCAUUGUGUGACUAAGGUGACAAAGAAACAACAGCAAUUCACUGGGCUAAGUGGUUUGUACAACAACCAGGAGAGAGCAGAUUAAUUCUGUCUAGGAGCUCAGGAUGGCACUUGAACCAGACUUUGAAAAAUGUGCACAGGAUUUUGCCAUCAGAGAAACAAGGUGAGGACAUGUUAAGCAGAGAGGACUUUGAACCAAAGCUCUGAAGCACAGAGGUCUAUGAUCUAUCAGUGGCAGCAGGUGAAGCUAGAGAAAGCUGGGACCAGAUUGGAAGAGGCCAGGCAGACUACCUGAAGGGGCUGGAUCUUACAUGAGAACACUGGGAAGCCCCUAAAAUUCUGUAAGCAGGGAGGUGACAUGGCUAGAUGUGCUUUUCAGAAAGGCUUCCUGGGGCAUGAAGAAUGGACUGGACUGGAGGGGGAGGAAUGAGUGGGGUAACAAUAGAGGGGAAUAAUUCAGAAGACAGAAGAGGCCCAAAUUAGGUAACUGGCUCGGGGAAGGAAAGGUUUGGACUUGGUGAAAUGGAGCUGUGUGAAAAAAAGGAGUAGGAGCUGACUUGGGUGUCUGGUUCGGGAAAGAAGGAGGGUGGUGAUGUCAUUAACCUGGAGAAGGAACAAACUCAGCACAAAUGAUUCCCAGCUGUGCCUACUCUCAAACACAGAAAAGCCAGAAAUAGGCUUGGCCCUGUGACCAGCAAGAGGGUACCCUAUGAUCAGAUGAGAUUAAGGGGCUAAUAUCCUCAACUGACUUUAAGGUCGAAAGAAAAAAGGACCUCCCCUAAGUCCCUAUUUCUUUAUGUGUUUUUGAGGACCCUAAGAAAAAUGGGGGUGAAUAAUUGUUUAGGAAAAUAUAAACAUAAAGACUGU
rnacentral:lncRNA from 10 species